rnacentral:lncRNA from 1 species
GACUCUUUGGCAGUUUGGAAAAGCAGGAGCGGGCUGGUGCCGGACGGGUCCACCUGGAGAGGUGCAGUGGAGGAUGCCCGGGUCUUCAGAUCAUGAAGAAGAGACCCAUUUUUCAACCAGACUCCUACAGCACAUCUGGGAUCGAAUGGGAUAAGAAGAAACAAGGGACAAAAGGAGAUUUUGACAUAAUUUGAGAUUUUUUUUCCUCCAUGGCAAAGAAGGUGAUGCUUAUCCCCCCAUCAGGCCUGGCCCCGAGCCAUUGGAGUAACUGGAGAGAGGUGAAAGAUCAACCUCUAGAGGGCGCUGUAGUUGGCGCCUGUGGUGGAGAUCAACUCAAGUUCCUGCCUGGAGCAGAACUUCACGAA